UACGUAGGGUGCGAGCGUUAAUCGGAAUUACUGGGCGUAAAGCGUGCGCAGGCGGUUCGUUAAGUCAGAUGUGAAAGCCCCGGGCUCAACCUGGGAACUGCAUUUGAAACUGGCGGGCUUGAGUAUGGCAGAGGGGGGUGGAAUUCCGCGUGUAGCAGUGAAAUGCGUAGAGAUGCGGAGGAACACCGAUGGCGAAGGCAGCCCCCUGGGUCAACACUGACGCUCAUGCACGAAAGCGUGGGGAGCAAACAGG
rnacentral:rRNA from 1 species